rnacentral:rRNA from 1 species
CAAACGCUGGCGGCAGGCCUAACACAUGCAAGUCGAACGAACCCUUCGGGGUUAGUGGCGGACGGGUGAGUAACACGUGGGAACGUACCUUUAGGUUCGGAACAACACAGGGGAAACUUGUGCUAAUGCCGAAUGUGCCCUUCGGGGGAAAGAUUUAUCGCCUUUAGAGCGGCCCGCGUCUGAUUAGCUUGUUGGUGAGGUAAAGGCUCACCAAGGCUUCGAUCAGUAGCUGGUCUGAGAGGAUGAUCAGCCACACUGGGACUGAGACACGGCCCAGACUCCUACGGGAGGCAGCAGUGGGGAAUCUUGCGCAAUGGGCGAAAGCCUGACGCAGCCAUGCCGCGUGAAUGAUGAAGGUCUUAGGAUUGUAAAAUUCUUUCACCGGGGAAGAGUAAUGACGGUACCCGGAGAAGAAGCCCCGGCUAACUUCGUGCCAGCAGCCGCGGUAAUACCGAAGGGGGCUAGCGUUGCUCGGA